CAAUAGCCUAACGGCUGAACCAGCAAUUUGGGGGAAUGUAAAUAGCUUUGUGACCUUCUUACCCUUCGUAAUGAGGGGUGAAGAGGCCAAUAAACAAAGCUAGAUCAGUUUAGCUGAAUAAAGUUCUAGAUAGAAUACUGAUAAUGACAAUUUUCUAUCUAUAUGUCUUGACCAAAUUACGUGCCAGCAGUCGCGGUAAUACGUAGAAGACUAGUGUUAUUCAUCUUCAUUAGGUUUAAAGGGUACCUAGACGGUAUUACUAGCCCAAAACAGGGUACAGUUUUACUAGAGUUUUAUAUGAGGAGGGGAGUAUUUGGGGAGUAGAGAUAAUAUUUUUUCAUACCGUGAAGACUGGUAACGGCGAAAGCAACCUCCUAUCUAAAAACUGACGUUGAGGGACGAAGGCUUGGGUCGCAAAAAGGAUUAGAAACCCUAGUAGUCCAAGCAGAGAAUUAUGAAUGCCACGGGUUAGAGUAUAUUAUUUAAUUCAGUUAGUGAUUUAGAUAAAUAUUAAUCUGUAAAUGAAAGUGUAAGCAUUCCACCUUAAGAGUAAUGUGGCAACGCAGGAAUUAAAAUCAUUAGACCGUUUCUGAAACCAGUAGUGGAGUAUGUUAUUUAAUUCGAUAGUCCUCGAAAAACCUUACCACAAUUUGUAUAUUAUUUUAUAAUUAAAAUAAUACAAGCGUUGCACGGUUGUCUUAAGUUGAUGUCGUGAGAUUUUGGUUAGUUCCAUAAAAUUAACGUAAACCCUUGCUUUAUUUUUAAAUUUAUAUUAUAAAU
rnacentral:rRNA from 1 species